rnacentral:rRNA from 1 species
UUACGGGAGGCAGCAGUGGGGAAUUUUGCGCAAUGGGCGAAAGCCUGACGCAGCAAUACCGCGUGAGUGAUGAAGGCCUUCGGGUCGUAAAGCUCUGUCAGAGGGGAAGAAACUCCUGUCGGUUAAUACCCGGCGGGCCUGACGGUACCCUCAAAGGAAGCACCGGCUAACUCCGUGCCAGCAGCCGCGGUAAUACGGAGGGUGCGAGCGUUGUUCGGAAUUAUUGGGCGUAAAGCGCGUGCAGGCGGCUCGUUAAGUCUGAUGUGAAAGCCCCGGGCUCAACCCGGGAAGUGCAUUGGAAACUGGCGAACUUGAGUACGGGAGAGGAAAGUGGAAUUCCGAGUGUAGGGGUGAAAUCCGUAGAUAUUCGGAGGAACACCAGUGGCGAAGGCGGCUUUCUGGACCGAUACUGACGCUGAGACGCGAAAGCGUGGGGAGCAAACAGGAUUAGAUACCCCGGU